UCCAACAGGAUGGGAUCAGUUGCCUUCAGCUCAGGCUUUUGAGACGGUUAGAGCUCCUAUGAAAUACCUGGAAAGGUGAAUAUCAAUCCUCUCAGCUUUCAGCCCCCUUUUAUUCUUUUCUCGUAAUAUUGUCACUUUCAAGCUCUUUUGAGCUUCCUCUCACUGAAAUUCUAAUCCAUCCUGCCAGCCUUGACAAUAACACAUGCAAGAUUUAUUCACUGACCUUCCAAAUCACAACUUUUUGCUCCGACAAUUUCUUCUUCUGUUUACUUUAACAACACCUUUCUCUCUGUUCCUCCCUCUCUCUUUUUUUAACCUAACUCAGUUUGUUCCUCACUAAAGCUACAAUAUUCAUCUCGUGCUAAGCCUUGAUGAUAACAUUCCACAACCUCCAGCUCUCUUUCUAAUCCACCCGUCUUCUCUCCUUUUUACAUAUCCUUUCCUUUGUGUUUCAGUGAACUCAUUUUAUACAAAUCUUUCGAACAUUCACCCUGUUCAUACUCUUCCCAUCUUACGAAAAUGGUCAAAUGGACCCCAGAAAUGGACCAGCAAUUGCUGCUGAAAAUUUUGGAAACUCACGAACUAAGCGUGGAUGCAACAAGCGUGUCCGAAGCAUGGCCCGGCGACGACCCGAAAGCUAAGCCCACUCCUCGGGCUAUUACUGAGCGUCUGGUCAAAAUCAAGUCUCGCAUCAAAAAUGGAAAAAGUGCAACUCCUACCUCCACUCCAACAAAGCUAGCCACACCGAACCCCCGUAACCGCACGUCCGCAAAACGCAAGCGCGGGGAUGCCACUUUGACCGGCAAAAAAGAUAUCAAAACUGGGACUUACAAUUCCCCCACUUCGAAUAUAAAAACUAUUAAACACGAAUACAACGAUGAAGAUGAUUUCCCAAUUGAUGGGAUGGUGGUUCAUAACAUGCGUACCCUAUCUAAAC
rnacentral:sRNA from 1 species